AUACCUUUCUCGGCCUUUUGGCUAAAAUCAAGUGUAGUAUCUGUUCUUAUCAGUUUAAUAUCUGAUAUGUGGGUCAUCGGCUCACACGAUAUUAAAUUUAUUUUUUGAGGGGGAAGAUCCAUAAAAAUCGCUUGCUAUCUCGGUUCUUCGUGUGUUGCCUUUGUGUUGCACUGUUGCAUCGGCCUAGCACACCCCAC